AAGAGACCGGUUGGUACGAAACAAAGCUGCUUCGCUGUUGUGUUGUGUUGUUCACAUUCUCUUUCUCCCCGCCUUCCACGUCAGGUACGAUACCAUCUCCUUCCGUCAAUUUUGCUUCCUAAAUCCCUCUGUUUCCUAAUCCGUCACAAAUUCCAUCUCCUCCUUCCCUUCUGUUAUCCGUUUAUUGCAAGUAAUCCUUGCUUGCUCCAUCACUCUUUACUUUAGGGCUUAAAAAAGAAAACCUAAAUUAUAUAUAAUUAUUAAAAGCAGUAGGGUUUGGGAAUUUUGAUUUGAAUUAUUCUGAAAUGGCGAACACCGUUGACGAAGACGCCGAUGCGGUGUUGAGCGAUGUGGAAGGGGAUGAACCGGUGCCGAUCGUAAUGAAAAGUCCGAGUCAAGAAGAUAUUUCCGUCGAGAAAUUCCGCGAGCUCCUCGAUCGAGAGCGAGCCGCACGCGAGGCAGCAGAGACUUCGAAAUCCGAAAUUCAAGUGUCAUUCAAUCGAUUAAAAGCUCUCGCGCACGAAGCAAUCAAAAAGCGGGACGAGUGCUCGAGGCAGAGAGACGAAGCGAUGAGAGAGAAAGAAGAGGCGUUGAAAGCUAACGAGAAAUUAUCGAAUGAAUUGAUUCAAGUGAACAGGUCGAAAGAGGAGACUCAGAAAAAAUUCGAUGAUUUGCAAUCGGAGACUGAGAAAUCGAGGCAUAUGUUAGUGAGUGGAAUUGAGAAGAUAUCAGGGAAGCUUAGUAAUUUCAAGAAUUUCGCGGCGGAAGGAUUACCUAGGUCGCAGAAAUACAGUGGAUUACCGGCGGUUGCCUAUGGAGUUAUUAAGAGGACAAAUGAGAUUGUUGAGGAGCUUGUUAGGCAGAUUGAUGUCACUGCAAAAUCUAGAAAUGAUGCGAGAGAGCAGAUGGAGCAGAGGAAUUACGAGAUUGCCAUUGAGGUUUCUCAGCUUGAAGCUGCAAUCAGUGGAUUGAGAGAUGAAGUUGCCAAGAAAACGACUCUGAUUGAGGGUUUAGAGAAGAGUGUGGUUGAGAAAGAGGGGAAAGUGUCGGAGAUUGAGAGAGAGAUGUUGGAGAAGAUGCAUUUGGUGGAGAAGGAGGCUUCGGAGAUGAGGGACUUAGUUGGUGAGUAUGAUGACAAGUUGAGGAAUUUGGAGUCGAAGAUGGAAUCGCAUAGACCUUUGUUGUUUGAUCAGUUGAAUUUGGUGGCGAAAAUCCAUGACCAGCUUUAUGAUGCUAUUGAGAUAGUUAACACUAGUCAUUUGAAUUCCGAGGUGUCAGAGUCGCUGUUUCUUCCCCAGCAAACGGACGUGGAGGAGAAUAUCCGUGCUUCUUUAGCAGGGAUGGAAUCAAUUUAUGAUUUGAGUAGAAUUGUUGCUGAAAAAACAAGGGAUUUGGUAGAGGAGAAGAAUCAUGAAGUGAAGAAUUUGAAUGAAACAGUGGAUCGAUUAAUGAAGGAGAAAGAACACAUCGGUACUUUACUUAGGAGUGCCUUGUCGAAGAGGAUGAAAUUAGAUCCAUCCUCCAAAACAAAUGAGUUGUUUCAAGUUGCUGAAAAUGGUUUAAGAGAGGCUGGGAUUGAUUUCAAAUUCAGUAAAGUCCUUGGUGAUGGUGAGGUAUCUGGUGAUAAAGGCGGCUCACUGGAAGCGGAGAGUGAUGAAAUAUACACUCUAGCCGGUGCUUUGGAGAACAUCGUUAAGGCAUCUCAGCUUGAGAUCAUUGAGCUGCAGCAUUCUGUGGAGGAACUAAGGGCAGAGUCAAGUUUACUUAAAGAGCAUAUAGAGAUUCAAGCCAAGGAACUAAGUCAUAGACUGCGCAGGAUAGAGGAGCUUGAAGAGAAGGAGAGAGUGGCAAAUGAAAGCGUUGAAGGACUUAUGACAGACAUUGCUGCUGCAGAAGAAGAAAUUACAAGGUGGAAAGUAGCAGCUGAGCAAGAGGCUGCUGCGGGUAGAGCAGUUGAACAAGAGUUUGUGGCUCAGCUGUCGGCAGUUAAACAAGAACUUGAAGAGGCAAGGCAAGCCAUAUUAGAAUCAGAGAAGAAGUUAAAAUUCAAAGAAGAAACAGCAGCUGCUGCCAUGGCAGCAAGAGAGGCUGCUGAGAAGUCAUUGAGUUUGGCUGAUAUGAGGGCGUCUAGGCUGAGGGAUAGGAUAGAGGAGCUCAGCCAUCAGCUGGAAGAGCUUGAAACUCGAGAAGAUUUGAGGGGCCGAAAUGGGCCUAGAUAUGUAUGUUGGCCUUGGCAGUGGCUUGGGCUGGACUUUGUAGGCUACCGCAAUACCGAGACACAACUACAGAGUUCAAAUGAAAUGGAGCUUUCCGAACCCCUCCUAUGAUCGUCUCUUUUCAUUUUUCCUUUUUUGUGUUUUGAUGGGCAUCGAUCUCAUUGGACACGGAGGAUACAUCAAUCUGUAGGAUCGCAGAGUGAAUCGAAUUUACAUCGGACCAUGAUUUGUUGGUUACUCUCAAGAUCCGUUCUCAACACUGGUGGCAGAGUUUAGUAGAAGGCAGCUGGACAAAACAAGGAAUGUUCAACUCCUGUUGACAAAAGUGCAAGACAAUAUGUUCCGCUCACGCACACACUUGAAGCUUUUUGAGACUGAUUUUUUUUUUUAUUAUUAUUUUCUUUGGUUGAAGAAGAUGGGUUCUAUAAUUCAUUUGGUACGUGUACAUCCAACAGCACAUCCUCCACCGCAUGUAAAUCACACAGACAUCUUUACAUAAGACAAACUGGUAGCAGAGUAAUACAGACAUUUAAGAACACGUAUGUUUAGAAAGCGGUGAUAUUCGGCUCAUUUUAUCUGGUUGUGCCUGCUGAGGAUAGUUGAUACGCACAAGGAAAAGAGGAUUCUUCUUAGAGAUGGUAAGGCCAGCUGCCUCCUCCAUGUUGAUGGCUACCGCGUUGGGUAAUUUCCAAUCAAAACAGUGUAAGAGAUUAGCGAGUGCAAGCUCCACCAUUGUUACUCCCAUAAGUAUUCCAGGACAAACUCUUCGACCAGAUCCAAAUGGCAAAAACUCAAAACGUUGUCCUUUAUAGUCAAUGGGGCUGUCAACAAAUCUUUCAGGGAAGAACUCUUCAGAAUCUCUCCAGUACUCAGGAUCUCUUCCAAUUGCCCAAGCAUUAACUUGUAUCAGUGUUUUGAGCAAUCUCUGCCGUUGCCCAGAUGACAGUGAUGGCACCGGUGUCAACUCCGCCUAAGAAUAUAUUCUGAAACUCAAGCAUCACAGAUAAGUUAGAUAAGACUUCUUCAUUUCUUUUAGUCAUAUAAAAGAUAUUCAAGUUAGAUAUCUGGAUCUUAGUUUCAACGAGUCUUAAAAAAUCAUGUGUAAAUAAGCACUGAAUGUGUUCCUUCUCUGCUGUAACAACUUGAGGAACAUGUGGCAACAACAGCUAGGCUUUUUUCCA